GAGGGGGUGCAAACGUUAUUCGGAUUUACUGGGUGUAAAGGGUGUGUAGACGGGUUGUUAAGUUCGUUGUUAAAUCUUCCGGGCCUAACCGGGAAGCUCGCGAUGGAAACUGGCAGUCUUGAGGAUGGAAGAGAGAAGUGGAAUUCUCGGAGUAGCGGUAAAAUGCGUAGAUCUCGAGAGGAACACCGAUGGCGAAGGCAGCUUCUUGGUCCAUUCCUGACGUUGAGACACGAAAGCGUGGGGAGCAAACAGGAUUAGAUACCCUGGUAGUCCACGCUGUAAACGAUGAUCACUAGAUGUUGGCCCUGUUUUGCAGGGUUAGUAUCGAAGCUAACGCGUUAAGUGAUCCACCUGGGAACUACGAUCGCAAGAUUA
rnacentral:rRNA from 1 species